rnacentral:rRNA from 1 species
GAUGAACGCUAGCGGCAGGCUUAAUACAUGCAAGUCGUGGGGCAGCAGCUUUAUAGCAAUAUAGAGGCUGGCGACCGGCAAACGGGUGCGGAACACGUACUGAACCUUCCUUUAAGUGGGGAAUAGCCCAGAGAAAUUUGGAUUAAUACCCCGUAACAUAUAAAAGUGGCAUCACUUUUAUAUUAAAGCUCCGGCGCUUAAAGAUGGCAGUGCGGCUGAUUAGGUAGUUGGCGGGGUAACGGCCCACCAAGCCUACGCCCAGUAACUGGUGUGGGAGCAGGACCAAUCACACGGGCACUGAGACACGGGCCCGACUCCUACGGGAGGCAGCAGUAAGGAAUAUUGGUCAAUGGACGGAAGUCUGAACCAGCCAUGCCGCGUGGAGGAUGAAGGUCCUCUGGAUUGUAAACUUCUUUUAUCUGGGACGAAAAAGGGCUUUUCUAAGUCAACUGACGGUACCAGAUGAAUAAGCACCGGCUAACUCCGUGCCAGCAGCCGCCGUAA